AUUUCCACCUAUUUCUCUCCAUAAGUAUAAAAGACCAUAAAAGACCAUCUAGGGACUUCAGAACCCAAAUAAUGACACAAUGUUAAUUUGCAGGUUCUCCCUCUGCCUGCCACCCCACCCAGCAAGGAGGAGAGGAAGUGUUGAGAAGGGAAGAGAUGAGUCCUGGCCCUGUCACUUCUUAGGGGUGUGCUUUUGAACAACCUGCUCACCAUGUAUGAACUUCACUCUUCUUGUUUAUAAAAUGAGGACAAUGACACCUGCAAGACUGUGAGGUUUAAAAACAAAAUCUGUGUUGAGAGGUAACUUGCCUCUUUUACUUACCAAUGAUUUCCUCAAUGCCUGGUGACUGGGGCUGGUUCAUACUAGACGAUCAAUAAAUGCUCCUUGAAUGAAUAGGUG
rnacentral:lncRNA from 1 species